rnacentral:rRNA from 1 species
AGUGAACGCUGGCGGUAGGCCUAACACAUGCAAGUCGAACGGCAGCACAGUAAGAGCUUGCUCUUACGGGUGGCGAGUGGCGGACGGGUGAGGAAUACAUCGGAAUCUACUUUUUCGUGGGGGAUAACGUAGGGAAACUUACGCUAAUACCGCAUACGACCUACGGGUGAAAGCAGGGGAUCUUCGGACCUUGCGCGAUUGAAUGAGCCGAUGUCGGAUUAGCUAGUUGGCGGGGUAAAGGCCCACCAAGGCGACGAUCGGUAGCUGGUCUGAGAGGAUGAUCAGCCACACUGGAACUGGGACACGGUCCAGACUCCUACGGGAGGGAGCAGUGGGGAAUAGUGGACAAUGGGCGCAAGCCUGAUCCAGCCAUACCGCGUGGGUGAAGAAGGCCUUCGGGUUGUAAAGCCCUUUUGUUGGGAAAGAAAAGCAGCAGGUUAAUACCCCGCUGUUCUGACGGUACCCAAAGAAUAAGCACCGGCUAACUUCGUG